rnacentral:rRNA from 1 species
ACAUCCAGAGAACUUAGCAGAGAUGCUUUGGUGCCUUCGGGAACUCUGAGACAGGUGCUGCAUGGCUGUCGUCAGCUCGUGUUGUGAAAUGUUGGGUUAAGUCCCGNAACGAGCGCAACCCCUUAUCCUUUGUUGCCAGCGGUUCGGCCGGGAACUCAAAGGAGACUGCCGGUGAUAAACCGGAGGAAGGUGGGGAUGACGUCAAGUCAUCAUGGCCCUUACGGCCAGGGCUACACACGUGCUACAAUGGCGCAUACAAAGAGAAGCGACCUCGCGAGAGCAAGCGGACCUCAUAAAGUGCGUCGUAGUCCGGAUUGGAGUCUGCAACUCGACUCCAUGAAGUCGGAAUCGCUAGUAAUCGUAGAUCAGAAUGCUACGGUGAAUACGUUCCCGGGCCUUGUACACACCGCCCGUCACACCAUGGGAGUGGGUUGCAAAAGAAGUAGGUAGCUUAACCUUCGGGAGGGCGCUUACCACUUUGUGAUUCAUGACUGGGGUGAAGUCGUAACAAGGUAGGCGUAGCGAG